rnacentral:piRNA from 1 species
UUCUACAUAGUUUAGCCUGCUUUGGGAA